UGCGGAGGAUCAUUACCGA
rnacentral:rRNA from 1 species